AUAACCUAACUGCUUUUUAUCUUCAGCAACAACAACUGCUUUGAAUCUACGCCAAUUAAUGUUUUAUGUGGUUUUUUUUUUCUUUCUCUUUCUAUCCCUCUUCUCUACUAACAAUAAUAUGUGGUUUCUCAUAUUUUGAGUUCGUUUUUUCUUUCUCUUUCUAUUCCCUCUUCUCUACUAACAAUAAUAUGUGAUUUCUCAUAUUUUGAGUUUGUAACGCCAGUUCAUGAAUCCGCAACUCAAGGCAAUGAAAUUUCAAAGUUAUGAAAAAUUCCGGAUUGCUUCAAGACUAAAAUACCAUAUUUAAUAGAAUUGAUCUUACAAGAUGCAAGGGUAAUAUAUUCCUUCUUUAAUUCACUUAUUUUUAAUGUUCUUCUUCUCUGUUGUGUUUAUAUAUUAAAUUUAAGAAUCCUGAAAUUUAGUUUCCAAAAAACUUUGUGACAUUAGUAGUGGGUAAUCAAUUCCUAAAGUGUAUCACUUUCUCCUAGAUUAAAAUUCUUUUUCUUUGUUGAUUUUUACUUGCCUUUGGGUUCUAAAGAUUGUAGAUAAGUAAUCAUUUAAGGCAAAGGAAAGUAUUUGUAGCAUAUACUGACAAUAUUCAAUUAAUUUAAUGUGAAGAAACACAUUCCUUUUGUGUUAUUUGCACUUUCUUUUUCCCCGUUCCUUCUUUUUUUGCUUAUUGCUGGACUUCUUCUUUCAGAACAAUGACUCUGAGGAGGAUGAGGAUAUGAUAAUAAGACCUCAUGACGUGGUUAUAGUUUAUGCAAGAAAUACUAAUUAUGUCAGUCAUCUUGAGGAAUGUACAAUAUACGUCAUGACUGAACAACUUUUUAUACUUUCAUCUGUAUGGCCCUGUUCAUUUCAUUGACCAUCUUUAAUUUUGUGACUUUCAUCUGUACCUAUAAAUCUUGAAUUUUUAAUUUUUAUCAAGUAGAUAUUUUUUUUCAUCGUCUCUGCGCAACAUAGCUUGAUUGCCCUAUUAAAGGCGGGGAGAGAGGUAUGAUUUUGCUUGAAGUUGAGCUUGCUACAUAAGUAUUUUCUCUUAGUCGUUGUUGAACAUUUGUAUCUUU
rnacentral:lncRNA from 1 species